UACGGGGGGAGCAAGCGUUGUUCGGAUUUACUGGGCGUAAAGGGCGCGUAGGCGGUCAGCACAAGUCAGUUGUGAAAUCUCCGGGCUUAACUCGGAAAGGUCAACUGAUACUGUGCGACUAGAGUGCGGAAGGGGCAACUGGAAUUCUCGGUGUAGCGGUGAAAUGCGUAGAUAUGUGGAAGAACACCGGUGGCGAAAGCGGUUCUCUAGCUCACUCCUGACGCUGAGGCGCGAGAGCAAGGGGAGCAAACAGG
rnacentral:rRNA from 1 species